ACUAGGUCAAAAAACAUAGACACGAGACAUUGAGCCUGGAUGGUGCGGGAAAACAUUUAGCCAAGGGUGAAGCUUCCCGCAUAAUACAUCAUCUUGUUGUUAAAGAAUUCCUUUUGGAAGACGUUAAGAAGAGCGAUAUUUAUGGAUCCGUGUCAUCAGUGCUGAAGGUGAAUGAAUCGAAGGCUAAAACUCUUUUCCUUGGUGGGCAGGUAAUAAUGAAAAGAUUCCCUAGCUCUGUAAAAGCAACUAAAGCAAGCAAACCAGAAGCCACUCCAGCAAAAGACUCAUUGACAGCUUCAGGGAAGAUUAGUUCACCAAUUGGUGACACUUCAGCCCAAUCCCACUCCAUAGUCGACUUGAACCUGUCUGCAAAACUGUAUUCUGCUUUGUGGAUGCUUCGAACUGCUCUUGUUAAAGAAGCCAGUGAAGGGGUCAUACUGUUCCGUCAUUCAUCACUUUUCUUUCUGUUCCAUGCCAUUUUUGUCUCGGUGAAAAUGUCAUUAGAAAUUCAGCUGAUUUAUUAUUAUUUUUCCUUUGCCUAGAAACGCUACCCUGCAGCACAUAAGCAAAAGAGUUCCAAGAACAAAGGAAGAACUCCUCGAAAUCAAUGGCAUUGGGAAGGAUAAGGUAAGCAAGUAUGGAGAUAGAUUACUGGAAACCAUUGAAGCUACCAUAAAGGAAUACUACAAAACAGACAAAAUCGGCAGUGGCAGCAGCAAUGACAGUAAUGACUCGGCAAAGAGAAGAAGAGAUGCAACUGCUGCUCCAAAUGCAAAUGCCAGUGAUUACAACAACGAUGAUGAUGACUUCACCAGAAGCACCGGACGAUCCAAGAAAAGAACAGUUGAAAGGCGGGACAAAGAUGGUGAUCCUUAUCCUUCAAAAGACCCAGAUUAUUAUAACAAUACUGAUAAUGAGGAUCUAUGAUUUUGAUGAUCUUGAUUAUGUAUACAAUGUUGAAUCAAAAGGAAACUGCCCAGAGGUAGGGGUCAACUUGAAUGGUGUAGUGAGGGCGUUACCUUCUUGGUCAAUAACAUGACAAAACUGGUAAAUUUUAACACAUUUGUAGCUGAAUGUUUUAAUUUUCCUAAAGGAAAUGUAAAUUUUAUACACU